AUACGUAGGGGGCAAGCGUUAUCCGGAAUUACUGGGUGUAAAGGGAGAGUAGGCGGCAUGACAAGCAAGAUGUGAAAGCCCGGGGCUUAACCCCGGGACUGCAUAAUGAACUGUCAGGCUAGAGUACAGGAGAGGUAAGCGGAAUUCCUAGUGUAGCGGUGAAAUGCGUAGAUAUUAGGAAGAACACCGGUGGCGAAGGCGGCUUACUGGACUGAAACUGACGCUGAGGCUCGAAAGCGUGGGGAGC
rnacentral:rRNA from 1 species